rnacentral:lncRNA from 1 species
UACAAUUUGAUAAUUUAAGUAGAGGAAGAGUUUUAUAGUUUUGGGACCUCUAUUGCAAUAUUACAUUUUGAUCUAUUUUGAUUUUAUUUUAGGAAAUUUUUUCCCAAAACUCUACAUCUUAAAUAUACAAUUCAAAAACAAGGAUUAUGAAAUUUAAAAUUCACUAAUCUAGUGUUAAUACAUAGUAAUAUAAUAAACCAUCCACACCACCCCAAAUUUCAAUCCCUGGCACCACAUGCGGUGGCGAAUGAGUGGGGCAGCGACACAGUACGGAGUCACUGCUAGUAUGAGCUACGGCACCUUGCUUCGCUGUUGCAGCUGUAGCGACGAGCUGCUCGUAGUGUCGUCGACGACCGUUGCUUGCAGGAAAUGUUUAGCUUUCCAUUUUUGUUAAACGAUUUCCUGUCGACAGAGCUAAAGUGUAAACUGUUCUCGCUUAGCUAUCGUUUUUCAUCUCUACCUGCCAUAUUGAACUUAGAGCUAAGAAUUUAGGGGUUGGGUUGAGAAAUUUGUGUAACAAUGAAAGAAAAUUAUUUGAAAUUGAUUUAGUGGCCAGUUGUCCGAUCAGAUCUAUUGUGUGAUGUGAUUGUGCAGGCAGUUGUUUGAUCAGAUGUGGUGGGUGGUUGUUUCAUCAGAUCUGUUAUUUAGCCAGGAUUUUGGGAUGGUGGUUGGUGUUUUGGAAAUGGUGCGAAUGUGCGAUGAUUUCCUGAUCUGUAGCAUGGUACUGUUGUUGUUAUUGGUUGUGUUAGUAAUAAUGCAGGCGUCGAUGGUUUUGUUGUUAUUGGUGGUCGUGGUGAGGUGGUGUACAUUUGGAUCUCGACGUUGUUGAAAGUGUUGGUAUUGACUAUAACCGGG